rnacentral:pre_miRNA from 1 species
AAUAACAAAUUUAGCCUUUGAUGUUUACAUAUUUUGUUAAUUUGGCCUUAAUUCUAAAAAUUUAGCCUCAAUAUUUACACAUUUGCACAAACAUUGUGAGCUAAAUUUAUUAAAUCAGGACCAAGUUAGCAAGAUAUGUAAACCUUGAGGGCUAAAUUUAUUAU